AGUGAACGCUGGCGGUAGGCCUAACACAUGCAAGUCGAACGGCAGCACAGUAAGAGCUUGCUCUUACGGGUGGCGAGUGGCGGACGGGUGAGGAAUACAUCGGAAUCUACUUUUUCGUGGGGGAUAACGUAGGGAAACUUACGCUAAUACCGCAUACGACCUACGGGUGAAAGCAGGGGAUCUUCGGACCUUGCGCGAUUGAACGAGCCGAUGUCGGAUUAGCUAGUUGGCGGGGUAAAGGCCCACCAAGGCGACGAUCCGUAGCUGGUCUGAGAGGAUGAUCGGCCACACUGGAACUGAGACACGGUCCAGACUCCUACGGGAGGCAGCAGUGGGGAAUAUUGGACAAUGGGCGCAAGCCUGAUCCAGCCAUACCGCGUGGGUGAAGAAGGCCUUCGGGUUGUAAAGCCCUUUUGUUGGGAAAGAAAAGCAGCAGGUUAAUACCCCGCUGUUCUGACGGUACCCAAAGAAUAAGCACCGGCUAACUUCGUG
rnacentral:rRNA from 1 species